rnacentral:rRNA from 1 species
GACAAACGCUGGCGGCGUGCCUAACACAUGCAAGUCGAACGGAGACAAUAGCAAUAUUGUUUUAGUGGCGGACGGGUGAGUAAUGCGUGAGCAAUCUGCCUUUCAGAGGGGGACAACAGCUGGAAACGGCUGCUAAUACCGCAUAAUGUAUACGGAUGGCAUCGUCUGUAUACCAAAGAUUUUAUCGCUGAAAGAUGAGCUCGCGUCUGAUUAGUUAGUUGGUGGGGUAACGGCCUACCAAGACUGCGAUCAGUAGCCGGACUGAGAGGUUGAACGGCCACAUUGGGACUGAGAUACGGCCCAGACUCCUACGGGAGGCAGCAGUGGGGAAUAUUGGGCAAUGGGGGAAACCCUGACCCAGCAACGCCGCGUGAAGGAAGAAGGCCUUCGGGUUGUAAACUUCUUUGACGAAGGACGAUAAUGACGGUACUUCGAAAACAAGCCACGGCUAACUACGUG